rnacentral:rRNA from 1 species
CAGCCGCCGCGGUAAUUCGUAGGUGGCAAGCGUUGUCCGGAAUUAUUGGGCGUAAAGCGCGCGCAGGCGGUCCUUUAAGUCUGAUGUGAAAUCUUGCGGCUCAACCGCAAGCGGCCAUUGGAAACUGGGGGACUUGAGUGCAGGAGAGGGAAGUGGAAUUCCACGUGUAGCGGUGAAAUGCGUAGAGAUGUGGAGGAACACCAGUGGCGAAGGCGGCUUCCUGGCCUGUAACUGACGCUGAGGCGCGAAAGCGUGGGGAGCAAACAGGAUUAGAUACCCUGGUAGUCCACGCCGUAAACGAUGAGUGCUAAGUGUUAGGGGGUUUCCGCCCCUUAGUGCUGCAGCUAACGCAUUAAGCACUCCGCCUGGGGAGUACGGCCGCAAGGCUGAAACUUAAAGGAAUUGGCGGG